rnacentral:rRNA from 1 species
ACGAGUGGCGACCGGGUGAGUAACACGUGAAUAACCUCCCCGGGCUUUUGGAUUAACAAUUAGAAACAGGGGUUAUUCUGAAAUGAUAUUUUUGUCUGCAUGGUUGGGGGUGGAAAGGGUUUUCGGUCUGGGGUAGGGUCGCGGCCUAUCAGCUUGUUGGUGGGGUGAUGGCCUACCAAGGCGUCGACGGGUAGCCGGCCUGAGAGGGCGACCGGCCACACUGGGACUGAGAUACGGCCCAGACUCCUACGGGAGGCAGCAGUGGGGAAUAUUGCGCAAUGGGCGGAAGCCUGACGCAGCAACGCCGCGUGCGGGAUGACGGCCUUCGGGUUGUAAACCGCUUUCAUCCAUGACGAAGGGUUUUUGACGGUAGUGGAAGAAGAAGCACCGGCCAACUACGUGCCAGCAGCCGCGGUGAUACGUAGGGUGCGAGCGUUGUCCGGAAUUAUUGGGCGUAAAGAGCUUGUAGGCGGUUUGUCGCGUCGGAAGUGAAAACUCGGGGCUUAACUUCGAGCUUGCUUCCGAUACGGGCUGACUAGAGGAAGUUAGGGGAGAACGGAAUUCCUGGUGGAGCGGUGGAAUGCGCAGAUAUCAGGAGGAACACCGGUGGCGAAGGCGGUUCUCUGGGACUUUCCUGACGCUGAGAAGCGAAAGCGUGGGGAGCAAACAGGCUUAGAUACCCUGGUAGUCCACGCCGUAAACGGUGGGCACUAGGUGUGGGGGACAUUCCACGUUCUCUGUGCCGUAGCUAACGCAUUAAGUGCCCCGCCUGGGGAGUACGGCCGCAAGGUAAAACUCAAAGGAAUUGACGGGGGCCCGCACAAGCGGCGGAGCAUGCGGAUUAAUUCGAUGCAACGCGAAGAACCUUACCUGGGUUUGACAUAGGCCGGAAGCAUUCAGAGAUGGCCUUUUUGUCCGGUUUACAGGUGGUGCAUGGCUGUCGUCAGCUCGUGUCGUGAAAUGUUGGGUUAAUUCCCGCAACGAGCGCAACCCUCGUUCAAUGUUGCCAGCGGUUAUGCCGGGGACUCAAAGGAGACUGCCGGGGGUCACUCGGAGAAGGUGGGGAUGAGGUCAAGUCAUCAUGCCCCUUAUGUUCAUGGCUUCACGCAUGGAUAAAUGGUUGGUAUAACGGGGUGGGAGGGGGCCAAGGCGAGCGAAUCCCGAAAAGCCAGUCUCAGUUCGGAUUGGGGUCUGCAACUCGACCCCAUGAAGUCGGAGUCGCUAGUAAUCGGAGAUCAGAACCGCUGCGGGGAAUACGUUCCCGGGGCUUGAACACACCGCCCGUCAAGUAAUGAAAGGCGGUAACACCCGAAGCCGGGGGCCUAA